GCAGAGUCAGUUGCGCCGCAGCGUUUGGUCAGUUACACCUUCUGGUUCACUGGUAGCCGCGGGAGCCGGGUGGGUCCUCGGCGAUGAUCCGGCAUUAAGGACCUGGAAUCAUCUCUGUCUCAGGUGGCUUGGGGAAAAUACAAGGGCACCCAAAUAUCAUCUACUGACUAAAUCUUUUGCCCUGAACUUCAUGAAGAAAUGAUAGGAGGCAGACAUAUGUGCCUUAGAAGAGCACUGAGCUCAGAGGAGAGCAACAAGAAGUUUUGGGGGUGUGCUUUGAGUUCCAUCAGAUGCAGGAGUUUGAACAUCUUUUAUGGCUCAAAGUGAUUGAAAUUAAUAGCGGAAGACU